rnacentral:rRNA from 1 species
AGUGGCGGACGGGUGAGUAACGCGUGGGUAACCUGCCUCAUACAGGGGGAUAACAGUUAGAAAUGACUGCUAAUACCGCAUAAGACCAUAGCACCGCAUGGUGCAGGGGUAAAAACUCCGGUGGUAUGAGAUGGACCCGCGUCUGAUUAGGUAGUUGGUGGGGUAACGGCCUACCAAGCCGACGAUCAGUAGCCGACCUGAGAGGGUGACCGGCCACAUUGGGACUGAGACACGGCCCAA